UUCCCCUGUUUGAAAUUAAAUCCACAGUGUUGGGCCGUUGAGAUGUUCUUCCUGCCAGAGGCAUGUUAAAUGUUAUUAUAUUAUGGUCACUAUUUCUAAGUGGUCCUGUUAUAGUUACUUCUUGGACCAGCUCCUGCGCUCCACUCGGACUAAAUCUAGAGCUGUCUCUCCACUUGUGGGUUCCUGUACCAGCUGCUCCAAUAAGAAGUAAUUUAAAGCAUAGAGAAAUUUUGUGUCUGCAUUUUGUCCCGAGGUGACAUGUUCCCAGUCAAUAUGGGGAUAAUUGAAAUUCCCGACUAUUAUUGAGUUCUUAAUUU